rfam:Oryza barthii chromosome 5, whole genome shotgun sequence.
GGUAAGUACUCCCUUUGUUACACUGUUAAUGUCCAAUGUUUGGUUGUUCGUUUUAUUUAAAAAAAUUUUAUGAUUAGUAUUUUUAUUGUUAUUAGAUAAUAAAAUAUGAAUAAUACUCUAUGUGUGAUUAUCUUUUUUAAUUUUUUUAAUUUUUUUUUAAAAUAAGACGGACAGUCGUGGAUAUGAAUAUCCAGUGCUAAGCUUAUU